UACAUGUGGGGCAAGCGUUGUUCGGAAUUACUGGGCAUAAAGGGUGCGUAGGUGGUUUGUUAAGUCAGGGGUGAAAGUUUUCGGCCCAACCGGAAAAUGGCCUUUGAUACUGGCGAGCUCGAGUGCGUGAGGGGUAACCGGAACGAGCAGUGUAGCGGUGAAAUGCGUAGAUAUUGCUCGGAAGGCCAACGGCGAAGGCAGGUUACUGGUGCGCAACUGACACUGAGGCACGAAAGCGUGGGGAGCAAACAGG
rnacentral:rRNA from 1 species